AUGCCCAAGUUGGUCUCUAAGGUCUUAACAAACAGGUUUCAACGCCGAAUUCCAGAUUUGGUGCACCCAUUGCAAUCUGGUUUUUUGAAAGGUCGUUUGAUCAUUGAAAACUUUGCUCUAGCCACUGAGCUAGUUCAGACUGCUCAUAAAAGAAAGCUGCUGGUUAUCACCUUAAAACUGGACUUUCAAAAAUCCUUUGACAGUGUGAGUUGGAGUUGCCUUUUGUAGAUAUUUCAAGCUAGAGGCUUCCCGCAGAGGUGGACCCAGUGGAUUUCCUCCUUAUUAUCCAUGGGCAAAUCGCGAGUCUUGAUGAAUGGAGAGCUUGGUGAUGUUUUUUCUACCAAGAAGGGCUUCCGUCAAGGGGAUUCUCUUUCUCCA
rnacentral:rRNA from 1 species